UCGUUUUUCAUGACUUCGUAGAGAGAAAUACACCAAAUAACUUCUCAUGAUAUGCCAGAGACUUCGUGGCAUUCCUUGGACUCAUUUGGCAGAGCCUCGAUGUUUCUACUGGAUUGAAUUGCCAUUGCUGACUCAUGAAUGGUACAGAGUGACUUCCAACAGGUAUGAACUUGUACAGUCUUGUGAGAAGGCCUUUCAUUAGGAUGUCUCAAUCUUUCUCUGUCAAGACCAGUGAUCCAUUAGGAGGCCAACCCAGCACUGAAGGCUGGCCAGCUGCUAGGGGCUGCUUCCUCUCUACCCGCCACCCUGGGAAGGCAGCCGUUUCUGUCCUCACAUGUGAAAGGGGUUCCCUCCCUCCACAUCCCAGCAUGGCUCCCGAAGACAGGACUCAUACAGCCUGCAGGCAAAAACCACAAGCCAAAGUCAGAGCCUCCACUAAAGCCCUCGGAGGGGGCGGCCUGGGACCUGGUGGGGGCUGGGGACUGAUGUCUGGUCUCCAGAACUGUGAGAAACAAAUGUCUGUUUCUUUAAGCUACCCAUUGUGUGGUCAUUUACUGCAUUCAGUAGUUCCUGGCAUACAUAAGCGUUCCAUAAAUAGUAGCAACAAUGACUACCAGACUUACUACCGGACCUGACUAUUAUCUCAACCCAAAUUUCAUUAAAAGUAACAAUUACUGGAGUAAAA